rnacentral:rRNA from 1 species
ACGAACGCUGGCGGCGUGCUUAACACAUGCAAGUCGAACGAUGAAGCCCAGCUUGCUGGGUGGAUUAGUGGCGAACGGGUGAGUAACACGUGAGUAACCUGCCCUUGACUCUGGGAUAAGCGCUGGGAACGGCGUCUAAUACCGGAUACGACCUGCCCCGGCAUCGGGUGUGGGUGGAAAGGUUUUCGGUCAAGGAUGGACUCGCGGCCUAUCAGCUUGUUGGUGAGGUAAUGGCUCACCAAGGCGACGACGGGUAGCCGGCCUGAGAGGGUGACCGGCCACACUGGGACUGAGACACGGCCCAGACUCCUACGGGAGGCAGCAGUGGGGAAUAUUGCACAAUGGGCGAAAGCCUGAUGCAGCAACGCCGCGUGGGGGAUGACGGCCUUCGGGUUGUAAACCUCUUUUAGUAGGGAAGAAGGACUUCGGUUUGACGGUACCUGCAGAAAAAGCACCGGCUAACUACGU